GGCUCAGAACGAACGCUGGCGGCAUGGAUUAGGCAUGCAAGUCGAACGAAGCAGCAAUGCUUAGUGGCGCAAGGGUGAGGAACACGUGAGUGACCUACCCGCAAGUUUGGAACAGCUCCUGGAAACGGGAAUUAAUACCGGAUGUGAUCGAUGAACUGCAUGGUUUAUUGAUUAAAGCAGUAAUGCGCUUGCGGAUGGGCUCGCGUCCCAUUAGCUAGUUGGUGAGGUAACGGCCCACCAAGGCCAUGAUGGGUAGCUGGUCUGAGAGGACGACCAGCCACACUGGGACUGAGAACUGCCCAGACUCCUACGGGAGGCUGCAGUCGAGAAUUUUGGGCAAUGGACGAAAGUCUGAACCCCCAGCAAUGCCGCGUGCGGGAUGAAGGUCUUCGGAUUGUAAACCGCUGUUUGGAGGGACGAAAAUUGACGGUACUUCCAGAGGAAGCCACGGCUAACUACGUGCCAGCAGCUGC
rnacentral:rRNA from 1 species